rnacentral:rRNA from 1 species
UUUAAUUCGAAGCAACGCGCAGAACCUUACCAGCGUUUGACAUGCCUAGUUUGGUUUCCAGAGAUGGAUUCCUUCAGUUCGGCUGGCUAGGACACAGGUGCUGCAUGGCUGUCGUCAGCUCGUGUCGUGAGAUGUUGGGUUAAGUCCCGCAACGAGCGCAACCCUCGUCCUUAGUUGCCAUCAUUAAGUUGGGCACUCUAAGGAAACCGCCGGUGAUAAGCCGGAGGAAGGUGGGGAUGACGUCAAGUCCUCAUGGCCCUUACACGCUGGGCUACACACGUGCUACAAUGGCGGUGACAGUGGGCAGCAAACUCGCGAGGGUGAGCUAAUCUCCAAAAGCCGUCUCAGUUCGGAUUGUUCUCUGCAACUCGGGAGCAUGAAGGCGGAAUCGCUAGUAAUCGCGGAUCAGCACGC